AUUGAACGCUGGCGGCAGGCCUAACACAUGCAAGUCGAGCGGAGCGGCGGACGGGUGAGUAAGGCCUAGGCAUCUGCCUGCUAGUGGGGGAUAACGUCCGGAAACGGGCGCUAAUACCGCCUACUACCCGUUGACCCUAUGGAGGAUUAGCUAGUUGGUGGGGUAAAGGCCUACCAACGCGACGAUCCGUAACUGGUCUGAGAGGAUGAUCAGUCACACGGGAACUGAGACACGGUCCAGACUCCUACGGGAGGCAGCAGUGGGGAAUAUUGGACAAUGGGCGAAAGCCUGAUCCAGCCAUGCCGCGUGUGUGAAGAAGGUCUUCGGAUUGUAAAGCACGUUAAGUUGGGAGGCGUUACCAACAGAAUAAGCACCGGCUAACUUCGUGCCAGCAGCCGCGGUAAUAC
rnacentral:rRNA from 1 species